rnacentral:rRNA from 1 species
GUCUACGGCCAUACCACCCUGAACGCGCCCGAUCUCGUCUGAUCUCGGAAGCUAAGCAGGGUCGGGCCCGGUUAGUACUUGGAUGGGAAGACCGCCUGGGAAAUACCGGGUGCUGUAGGCU